rnacentral:rRNA from 1 species
GACGAACGCUGGCGGCGUGCUUAACACAUGCAAGUCGAGCGGAAAGGCCACUUCGGUGGUACUCGAGCGGCGAACGGGUGAGUAACACGUGAGUAAUCUGCCCCUGGCUUUGGGAUAGCCACCGGAAACGGUGAUUAAUACCGGAGACGACCACUUCUCGCAUGGGAUGGUGGUGGAAAGUUUUUUCGGCCAGGGAUGUGCUCGCGGCCUAUCAGCUUGAUGGUGAGGUAAUGGCUCACCAUGGCUUCGACGGGUAGCCGGCCUGAGAGGGUGACCGGUCACACUGGGACUGAGACACGGCCCAGACUCCUACGGGAGGCAGCAGUGGGGAAUAUUGGACAAUGGGCGGAAGCCUGAUCCAGCAACGCCGCGUGAGGGAUGACGGCCUUCGGGUUGCAAACCUCUUUCAGCAGGGACGAAGCGCAAGUGACGGUACCUGCAGAAGAAGCACCGGCCAACUACGUGCCAGCAGCCGCAGUAA